rnacentral:rRNA from 1 species
UGGGGGGGCCUUUCGGGAGGCAGCAGUGGGGAAUUUUGGACAAUGGGCGCAAGCCUGAUCCAGCAAUGCCGCGUGAGUGAAGAAGGCCUUCGGGUUGUAAAGCUCUUUUGUCAGGGAAGAAACGGCUGUGGCUAAUAUCUGGGGCUAAUGACGGUACCUGAAGAAUAAGCACCGGCUAACUACGUGCCAGCAGCCGCGGUAAUACGUAGGGUGCAAGCGUUAAUCGGAAUUACUGGGCGUAAAGCGUGCGCAGGCGGUUUUGUAAGUCUGACGUGAAAGCCCCGGGCUCAACCUGGGAAUUGCGUUGGAGACUGCAAGGCUUGAAUCUGGCAGAGGGGGGUAGAAUUCCACGUGUAGCAGUGAAAUGCGUAGAGAUGUGGAGGAACACCGAUGGCGAAGGCAGCCCCCUGGGUCAAGAUUGACGCUCAUGCACGAAAGCGUGGGGAGCAAACAGGAUUAGAUACCCUGGUAGUCCACGCCCUAAACGAUGUCUACUAGUUGUCGGGUUUUAAUUAACUUGGUAACGCAGCUAACGCGUGAAGUAGACCGCGUGGAUUCU